rnacentral:rRNA from 1 species
GUGAACGCUGGCGGUAGGCCUAACCCCUGCCAGUCGAACGGCAGCACUGUAAGAGCUUGCUCUUACGGGUGGCGAGUGGCGGACGGGUGAGGAAUACAUCGGAAUCUACUUUUUCGUGGGGGAUAACGUAGGGAAACUUACGCUAAUACCGCAUACGACCUACGGGUGAAAGCAGGGGAUCUUCGGACCUUGCGCGAUUGAAUGAGCCGAUGUCGGAUUAGCUAGUUGGCGGGGUAAAGGCCCACCAAGGCGACGAUCCGUAGCCGGUCUGAGAGGAUGAUCAGCCACACUGGAACUGAGACACGGUCCAGACUCCUACGGGAGGCAGCAGUGGGGAAUAUUGGACAAUGGGCGCAAGCCUGAUCCAGCCAUACCGCGUGGGUGAAGAAGGCCUUCGGGUUGUAAAGCCCUUUUGUUGGGAAAGAAAAGCAGCAGGUUAAUACCCCGCUGUUCUGACGGUACCCAAAGAAUAAGCACCGGCUAACUUCGU